rnacentral:rRNA from 1 species
CGUGCAGGCGGUUUCGUAAGUCGGACGUGAGAGCUCCUGGCUUAACUGGGAGAGGCCGUUCGAUACUGCGGGACUUGAGGUCGGGAGAGGGACGUGGAAUUCCCGGUGUAGUGGUGGAAUGCGUAGAGAUCGGGAGGAACACCAGUGGCGAAGGCGGCGUCCUGGCCCGUACCUGACGCUAAGACGCGAAAGCGUGGGUAGCGAACG